rnacentral:rRNA from 1 species
UUUGGUUAAGUUAGAAAGGGCGCACGGUGGAUGCCUUGACACUAGGAGUCGAUGAAGGACGGGACUAACGCCGAUAUGCUUCGGGGAGCUGUAAGUAAGCUUUGAUCCGAAGAUUUCCGAAUGGGGAAACCCACCAUACGUAAUGGUAUGGUAUCCUUAUCUGAAUACAUAGGGUAAGGAAGACAGACCCAGGGAACUGAAACAUCUAAGUACCUGGAGGAAGAGAAAGCAAAUGCGAUUUCCUGAGUAGCGGCGAGCGAAACGGAACAUAGCCCAAACCAAGAGGCUUGCCUCUUGGGGUUGUAGGACAUUCUAUACGGAGUUACAAAGGAACGAGGUAGACGAAGCGACCUGGAAAGGUCCGUCGUAGAGGGUAACAACCCCGUAGUCGAAACUUCGUUCUCUCUUGAAUGUAUCCUGAGUACGGCGGAACACGUGAAAUUCCGUCGGAAUCUGGGAGGACCAUCUCCCAAGGCUAAAUACUCCCUAGUGAUCGAUAGUGAACCAGUACCGUGAGGGAAAGGUGAAAAGCACCCCGGAAGGGGAGUGAAAGAGAUCCUGAAACCGUGUGCCUACAAAUAGUCAGAGCCCGUUAACGGGUGAUGGCGUGCCUUUUGUAGAAUGAACCGGCGAGUUACGAUCCCGUGCGAGGUUAAGCUGAAGAGGCGGAGCCGCAGCGAAAGCGAGUCUGAAUAGGGCGUUUAGUACGUGGUCGUAGACCCGAAACCAGGUGAUCUACCCAUGUCCAGGGUGAAGUUCAGGUAACACUGAAUGGAGGCCCGAACCCACGCACGUUGAAAAGUGCGGGGAUGAGGUGUGGGUAGCGGAGAAAUUCCAAUCGAACCUGGAGAUAGCUGGUUCUCCCCGAAAUAGCUUUAGGGCUAGCCUUAAGUGUAAGAGUCUUGGAGGUAGAGCACUGAUUGGACUAGGGGUCCUCAUCGGAUUACCGAAUUCAGUCAAACUCCGAAUGCCAAUGACUUAUCCUUAGGAGUCAGACUGCGAGUGAUAAGAUCCGUAGUCAAAAGGGAAACAGCCCAGACCGCCAGCUAAGGUCCCAAAGUGUGUAUUAAGUGGAAAAGGAUGUGGAGUUGCUUAGACAACUAGGAUGUUGGCUUAGAAGCAGCCACCAUUUAAAGAGUGCGUAAUAGCUCACUAGUCGAGUGACUCUGCGCCGAAAAUGUACCGGGGCUAAAUACACCACCGAAGCUGCGGAUUGAUACCAAUGGUAUCAGUGGUAGGGGAGCGUUCUAAGGACAGUGAAGUCAGACCGGAAGGACUGGUGGAGUGCUUAGAAGUGAGAAUGCCGGUAUGAGUAGCGAAAGACGGGUGAGAAUCCCGUCCACCGAAUGCCUAAGGUUUCCUGAGGAAGGCUCGUCCGCUCAGGGUUAGUCAGGACCUAAGCCGAGGCCGACAGGCGUAGGCGAUGGACAACAGGUUGAUAUUCCUGUACCACCUCUUUAUCGUUUGAGCAAUGGAGGGACGCAGAAGGAUAGAAGAAGCGUGCGAUUGGUUGUGCACGUCCAAGCAGUUAGGCUGAUAAGUAGGCAAAUCCGCUUAUCGUAAAGNNNGCUGAGCUGUGAUGGGGAAGCUCCUUAUGGAGCGAAGUCUUUGAUUCCCCGCUGCCAAGAAAAGCUUCUAGCGAGAUAAAAGGUGCCUGUACCGCAAACCGACACAGGUAGGCGAGGAGAGAAUCCUAAGGUGUGCGAGAGAACUCUGGUUAAGGAACUCGGCAAAAUGACCCCGUAACUUCGGGAGAAGGGGUGCUUUCUUAACGGAAAGCCGCAGUGAAUAGGCCCAAGCGACUGUUUAGCAAAAACACAGCUCUCUGCGAAGCCGUAAGGCGAAGUAUAGGGGGUGACACCUGCCCGGUGCUGGAAGGUUAAGGAGAGGGGUUAGCGUAAGCGAAGCUCUGAACUGAAGCCCCAGUAAACGGCGGCCGUAACUAUAACGGUCCUAAGGUAGCGAAAUUCCUUGUCGGGUAAGUUCCGACCCGCACGAAAGGUGUAACGAUUUGGGCACUGUCUCAACCAGAGACUCGGUGAAAUUAUAGUACCUGUGAAGAUGCAGGUUACCCGCGACAGGACGGAAAGACCCCGUGGAGCUUUACUGUAGCCUGAUAUUGAAUUUUGGUACAGUUUGUACAGGAUAGGCGGGAGCCAUUGAAACCGGAGCGCUAGCUUCGGUGGAGGCGCUGGUGGGAUACCGCCCUGACUGUAUUGAAAUUCUAACCUACGGGUCUUAUCGACCCGGGAGACAGUGUCAGGUGGGCAGUUUGACUGGGGCGGUCGCCUCCUAAAGUGUAACGGAGGCGCCCAAAGGUUCCCUCAGAAUGGUUGGAAAUCAUUCGUAGAGUGCAAAGGCAUAAGGGAGCUUGACUGCGAGACCUACAAGUCGAGCAGGGACGAAAGUCGGGCUUAGUGAUCCGGUGGUUCCGCAUGGAAGGGCCAUCGCUCAACGGAUAAAAGCUACCCCGGGGAUAACAGGCUUAUCUCCCCCAAGAGUCCACAUCGACGGGGAGGUUUGGCACCUCGAUGUCGGCUCAUCGCAUCCUGGGGCUGUAGUCGGUCCCAAGGGUUGGGCUGUUCGCCCAUUAAAGCGGUACGCGAGCUGGGUUCAGAACGUCGUGAGACAGUUCGGUCCCUAUCCGUCGUGGGCGUAGGAAAUUUGAGAGGAGCUGUCCUUAGUACGAGAGGACCGGGAUGGACGCACCGCUGGUGUACCAGUUGUUCUGCCAAGGGCAUAGCUGGGUAGCUAUGUGCGGAAGGGAUAAGUGCUGAAAGCAUCUAAGCAUGAAGCCCCCCUCAAGAUGAGAUUUCCCAUAGCGUAAGCUAGUAAGAUCCCUGAAAGAUGAUCAGGUUGAUAGGUUCGAGGUGGAAGCAUGGUGACAUGUGGAGCUGACGAAUACUAAUAGAU